UUGGAAUGAGAACAAUUUAAAUCUCUUAACGAGGAACAAUUGGAGGGCAAGUCUGGUGCCAGCAGCCGCGGUAAUUCCAGCUCCAAUAGCGUAUAUUAAAGUUGUUGCAGUUAAAAAGCUCGUAGUUGAAUUUCGGGAUCAAUAUUUCGGUCAUGCCGUUGGUAUGCACUGUUAUCAUUGAUUUCUCACCUUCUAAAGAACCGUAAUGCCAUUAAUUUGGUGUUACGGGGAAUUAGGACUGUUACCUUGAAAAAAUUAGAGUGUUUAAAGCAGGCUCACGCUUGAAUACAUUAGCAUGGAAUAAUGAAAUAGGACAUCCGAUUCUAUUUUGUUGGUUUCUAGGAUCGAUGUAAUGAUUAAUAGGGAUAGUUGGGGGCAUUAGUAUUCAAUUGUCAGAGGUGAAAUUCUUGGAU
rnacentral:rRNA from 1 species